rnacentral:misc_RNA from 1 species
CGGGCGAUGAAUGAUUAUCCCAGCACUUAUGCUUUGGGAAAGGCAAGCCGAAUUGAUCUGCCUGUAACUUUCUUUUCUUGCUCACGUCAAACAUGUUCUCACUGUGUGAUUUACACUGAAGCAUGGGUCUUCAAAUUGCUGAUUAUCGUAAGAGAAUAUCUACAAAAAGAGAACGAUGGCCUAGUAUCAGCUACGUUUCUCUAGAGAUCACAAUCACUCUGUCUUGGAGAGAAAAAUAACGAAAUUGAUUCGAAUCAACCACAAGAACAAGAGAGAGAAAUGAUUAGCAUCA